UACGUAGGGGGCAAGCGUUGUCCGGAAUUACUGGGCGUAAAGCGUGCGCAGGCGGUUCUAUAAGACAGAUGUGAGAUCCCCGGGCUCAACCUGGGAACUGCAUUUGUGACUGUAGAGCUGGAGUACGGCAGAGGGGGAUGGAAUUCCGCGUGUAGCAGUGAAAUGCGUAGAUAUGCGGAGGAACACCGAUGGCGAAGGCAAUCCCCUGGGCCUGUACUGACGCUCAUGCACGAAAGCGUGGGGAGCAAACAGG
rnacentral:rRNA from 1 species